GGAUUAGAUACCCUAUUAUUUUUAAUGUAAAUUAUUUAUAACCAGAGUAGUAUUAGAUAAAGUCUUGAAACUUAAAGAAUUUGGCGGUAUUUUAGUCUCUUUAGAGGAAUCUGUCUCUUAAUCGAUAAUCCGCGUUGUACCUUACCAAAUUUAUUAUUUAGUAGCAUGUAUACCGCCGUUAUAAUGAAAAUCUUUUUAGGGUUUAAUAAUUUUCUUUAUUUGAUUUAUAGAUUAUUUCAGGUCAAGGUGCAGUUUAUGAUUUGGUGAGGAUGGAUUACAUUUAUAUUUGUUAUUCGAAUUAUUUAUUGAAAUAUAAAUAUGAAGUUGGAUUUAAUUGUAAUUUUUUAAAGAUUAUGAUAGUGAUACUAGCUCUAUAAUAUGUACAUAUCGCCCGUCACUCUCAUUAAUAAUUUAAUUGAGAUAAGUC
rnacentral:rRNA from 1 species